rnacentral:lncRNA from 1 species
GCAGCUGGAUGGCUUCUGUACCCAUACUGUGUUUUUCUUUCUGGAGGUAACCCCCUCCUGAAAUUUGCAGUGUUUCAGGCCAGAAAUGUUGCCCCGGGUCCUUCUUUUCAGCUGCAACCUCUCUUAGGGGAGGCCGUGGCGUGAGCUGCGGCGGAGGCAGCGCUGCCCUUUGUCAGCGCUGCCCUUUUUCCUUCCCCCGUGCUUCGGAGAGGCAUGCUCAGGUUGCGUACUGCAGUUAUGUCAGAGAUGUCCAGAAUUACCACGGCUUGCAGAUCAGGAGGGGAGGGGGAGAACUCCUUUGCUUGAGCCUGUGUCUGAGGAGAGGAGCGAGAUCUGCUUGUUCUGCAGCCUGCAGGGGGAAAUCACCGCAUCAGAAAGUGCUUCUCUCCCUGAUGCCAGCCCCCAGCAGGCAACCGUGGAGGUGGGUGGCUGCUGCAUCCCUCGGUAGGGAGACCUCUCUCUGUGGCACACGAAGGAGACUGGUGUGGGACAGAAAGCUGGUGCCCGAUAAUGGAGUUCACUGUUUUCCUGACCUGAGGGCAAUUGGGUAGAAAGCUUGGCUGGAAAUGGCUUAUCAUAAGACUGUCAUCGGUUCGUUUAAGUCAAUACCAAUUACGAGGUUAUUAAUUAAAAAAAAUGUGACUGGUGUGAAUAAUGAUUGUAACCCUUCAUUCUCCAGGCAGUCACAUUGCAUGAGUUCAGCACGGACUACAGCUGUCUGUGUGCCCUGAGUGGUAGAGGCUGUUCCCCCUUCAGCAUUUCUUUUAAGUGUCAUGAUAACAUCUUCUUAAGUGUUUUCGGGCUAAUUUUUCUUCAGACUUGGCAUUCUCCUGCCUUCAGGAAUAUUCUCUGACUUGACAUUCCCUAUUCAUUCAUCUCCUGCUGUCUGAGAAAACAUUAAAAGCCUCUUGAGCGCAGCCCAUCAUGAAAGGGUGAAUGUUCAAUCAGGCAUAGAAACCCGCCUGAUGUCAUCUCUCAUUCCCAAGAAAGUUUUCUGAUGCUCCGUUAAACGUUCCCAUGCUUUCAUCUGUGGGAAAGAGAUGCUGGAGCAGUCACGGUGCUUUGCUGGCACUGAGAUAAGAGCUCAACACUGACAUUAUCACGAGUUGCCUCCUGGGUCGGCCUCCUCACCAUCCAGCUGCCAUAUCCUGGAGGAGUGUGCUCAGGGCUGACCCGUCUAUUGGAGGACGGGAACACUUAUUC